rnacentral:rRNA from 1 species
GGGCGAAGCCGGGGUUCUAGCAGAGGUUCCUCUUCGUCCGGUGGGCCCUCGGCAAGUGGGAGCGGCUGGGGUAGGUGCGGACGCGCGGAGGGUUUUUGUUCGACCAGAGGCCUCCGCUGGAGGACCAGCUCUCCCCGUUUACGUUCAAGUGGUUCUUCCGGUUCGAGCGGCUCCGGCGCCCGCGGAGUCCCUAUGAGUAGUAUUUGAGGCCGUGGCUCAUCAUGUUCUACCAGACGCUCUUCUUGCUUUGCCUC